UGAUAAAGCUACAAUAACCAAGACAGGAUAAUACUGACAAAGCUAGACAAAUAAAUAGAACAGAGAGACCAGAAAUAAACUCACACAUAUAUUGACAACUGAUCUUUCACAAAAUUGCAAAAGCAAGUCAGUGGAGGAAGAUAGUUUUCUAAACAAACUAGAUGCUAGAAUGAUAGAUUGAAUAUCCAUGUAGAAAAAAAAAAGUGAAGUCUGGUCCAUAGGAGAGGUUAAUGCCAUUGAAAGAAGAAUUUAUUACUUAUAGUUUCUGAGAGGACGGGGCAGGCCAGGCCACACUGGGCCACCUGGGGAAGCAAUAGGUGUGGUCAGGAGGUAGGAGCAAGGGGAAAGCAUGGUUUAGAGCC
rnacentral:lncRNA from 1 species